rnacentral:sRNA from 1 species
GCCAGGCACAGUGGCGCAUGCCUGUAAUCUCAGCAGCUCAGGAGGCUGAGACAGGAGGAUGGCAAGUUCAAAGCCAGCCUCAGCAAAAGUGAGGCGCUAAGCAACUCAGUGAGACCCUGUCUCUA